rnacentral:antisense_RNA from 1 species
AGCCGCGUGGACAUGCGGUGCAGGAAGUCGGCGCGGGAGGCGGCAACCUUGCGAUGGGCGCGGGCGACCUUCGCUCUCGCCUUGGCCCGGUUGUUCGAUCCGCGCCGUUUGCGGGCCAUGCGCCGCUGGUAGCGGGCGAGGUUGCGUUCCCGCUUCGCCAGAACGCGCGGAUUGGCGAUCUUCUCACCGUCAGAGGUGACCGCGAAAUCCUUCACCCCGAGGUCCACGCCGACCACGGCACCGGGGGCGGGAGCCCGCUCCGGGGCGUCCACCUCCACGGCGAAGGACACAUACCAACGUCCGCACGGAUCACGAGAAGCGGUCACCGUGGUCGGGUCGAUCGCCGUCACGUCCACAUCGGGCCAGGACCACACGAACUCCAGCGGAGCGUCCAUCUUCGCCAGCCACAGCCGCCCAUCCCGGUAGCGGAAACCCGACCGGGUGUACUCCGCGCUCUGCCGCCCACCGCGGGACUUGUAGCGCGGAUAACGGGCGCGCCCGGCGAAGAAGUUCGUGAACGCGACCUGCUGGUGGCGAAUCGCUUGCUGAAGCGGAACCGACGACACAUGGUUCAGCCAGGCCGUCUCAUCGG